AGAUAACUUAUUGACUUAAUUUUUCCUGAUCUACUUUGCAUGUCUUGACAAUGAAUAUGAAUUGCUUGAAACAUAACAAUUUCUUAAAGUAACUUUUUUGAUAGAAAAACUUCAUAUCAAUAGCUUUAGUUAGAAAUGUAAUCGUUUUAUUCGGUGUGGACUGCUGACCACUGAUAUUUAGAAACCAUUCAAACACAUAAAAGAAAGGUCAACACUCUAUAUAUGCUUCCUUCGUCGGAGGAAUAGUUAUCUCUUUCACUUUCUAUUACAAUGUUCUUUUUUAUACAAUUAGAUAUUUAAAAAAAGAAAGAAAAAGAAAUGGAAAUAAAAGGUCAAUUCAAAACUUCAUUAUUGUACUAAACAAAAAUAUAUGAAUGGGUUUAAAUAAAUGCUUUAUAAAGUUUAUACAAAGACUAACUUUUUAAAAGGCAAUAUAUUUCAAGGGACAGUGAUUCUGUCAAAACAACAAUAAACCACCUUUUUUGAUUUAGUGAAUAAGGAUUUGAAAAUAUAUUUGGAAUAAGGAUGUAACGUUUUCCAAAACGUGGUUAAGAUAUUGUUAAACAUUUCACACUUCGUACACAUGCUUUAUAUAUAUAUCUAUAUUUGUUUAUGAACCAGAUGAAGGAGUUUCUCGCUGUAUUAAAGACCUAUUGGUGACCUACUGCUGUUGUCUGUUCUAUUGUCGGGUUGUUGUCUCUUUGACACAUUCCCCAUUUCCAUACUCAAUUAUAUUUGUAUUUUUUUUCAUAUUCAAGAUUCAUUUACUUAGAAAAAUAUCAUUAUAAAACAAAUGGCUAUUUAUAACAAUGACUUUUGAUGCUUAGUACAACAAAGUUUCACUAUUUUGUAUUUUGAUAACAGAAAAGGUACAAACCGGAUGCAUGUCUUUACAAUAACAGCUUUAUUUGAAAAUGUAUUAAUAAAAACUGUUGAAUCAGCUGUUGAAUCGAAUUAAAAAAGUAGUCCUAGUAAGGUCUUUUUUUCAAUUUACAUCCAUAUUAACAACAAUGAACUAUUAUAUGUCUUAAGAAAGCUAUACCCUAUUAGGAUAAAGAAAUUCAUAACUAUAUGUCAGUUUUGACUAUUAACUCAUAAUCCUGUAAUAACCCAUUUUACGGAAAUAACGUCCUUAAUUUAAUCUGUUUUGUUUUUAUUAUUAUGGUGUUUUAUGCUAGGGUAUAUUGAUAUAUGCAAUAGAUGUAAUAUAAAUGUAUUUAAAUCUGUGUUUUACAGUCGCUCUUAAUUCUUUUUAUAGUGGCUCUUUUAUUAAUUGAAGACUCUUAUAAAUUAUUUGUUGUUGUUUUGUUUUGUCUUUCUUUUUACAUGUGAAAGCGAACACAAUUGAAAUGUUUUUCUUCUAUCAAUGACUGACCACUGCCAUUUGGUUGAAGGUAAUUAUGUCAUCUUGUUCAUGUGCUGUAAUUGCACUGUAAUUUUAUAAAACGAAUAGUACAUAUUUUAAUGAUCAUGCUAAAACGCAUAUUAUACUAUUAUAUUCGUUUUAGACUUAUACCUCAAAUUUGACACAAUCGGUCAUUCCUGUACCAGAAUGUAUGACCAACGAGACAAACAACUUCUCCACCUUCGGAGCAACGCGCUAACUUCACCUGUAUAUAGGAUAUACAUAUCCCAACUCAUUUGGUGUUUUAAAGCAGUUGCUUCUCAGACUUUAUUUAAGGGUACCAGUGCCGGAGCUGAAGUUAAAGAACCAGGAUUAUGUCAAAAAACGCUUCAACCUUUUUCUUAAAACGUUCCUUGGAAGAUAUCAAGAUCGUGUCAAUGAAUAUUCGGUAUCAUCUUCAAAACUAAUACAUGAUGAUCCUGAAGUAUAGAUUCUAGGUGUUGAUAUGAUUUUUUUUACUUAAUCGCGUGUUAUAGCGUUCUUUCAUAUGGUCCUUGUAUAUAUUAUCA
rnacentral:lncRNA from 1 species